CAUCAAGAAGCUCAACAACAUCACAGUCUGACCGACUGCAGAAAGAGUUUGGACCGAUACUGAACCUCAGUUAAUGUUUAACUUGACUGGAAUUUUUUCAGUUCACUUGUUGUUGUAAAGCAAAGCCAUCUGGAAUAGCCAUUCAAUGAUCUUUACUCUGUAGAUAUUCCAUAUAGAAGUCUUCAUUGUUAGUGGCAGCACCGGAUUCAAUUUGCCUUCACAAGCACGAGGGGAAGCACAAGGGGAAGCACAAGGAACGAGGCAGCAUGCCUUCCAAGGAUUUCAAGGACCUGUGGGAACCGUGACACUACCAAUUUAUAGCUUUUUUUCUGUCAAACAAUUUUCAGUUGGCUUCCUUAUCCUCCAUAAUCUCUUCUGCAUCGUAGAUUAAUAUAAGCCUGGUUGAGCAAUAACCUUGGGUGUGUGCUAUAUAUAGAUGAUGGAUGACUUCAAACAAUGAGCACAUAGAUGCAAUAAACACAUAAAGCCAAGUCACCACGUUGUCAGACGCUCUGUGUCAGACAAUGACAGAUUCUUUUCAACACCUUAGAGUAUUUAAAGUUGCCUCAACUCCCUCCCUCUUUUAUUCAGAUUCCCUUACCUCCGCCCUGCUCAAGAUCCUUGUCUUCUUCCUCGCACUCCUCGCCAUCCUGGGCCUCAGUGGUGCACCGAUAGCCCUUUCUCUUCAACACGUGGCAGAUCACCACCCCCAACAGGCCCAGAAGGAAGAAAACGGGAACCAGGACGAAAGCGGUGUAGUCUGGGGUUCCCCCCGCUGCUCCACCUGCACCUUUUCCAGUCUCUGUAGUCUGAUUUACUGGAUGACGGGAAGCAAGAAACAGGGAUAAAACACAGCCAUUAUUUUAAAUGUUGUUGCAACGGGACACAGAAAAACAGAGCUAUGGACUGUCAUUACAAUGCCAAUGAUGGCAACCUGAUAUCCACAGUAAGUCUGAGGCCCUUGGCUGAGCAGCUGAGGGGAUUUAAAUGCUAUCAGCUGCAACAUGACGGAGCUUUCAUGUUCCCUUCUUGGAUCAAUCGAGUCUGCUGCUGUCUCUGCCCUCUAACUGCUCCAUCCGGUGCAAGCUGUCCCCCCUUUUACAGCUUUGAGGACUCAUUUGGUUUAAGAAGUAGACGCAGAAAGAGUGAAAAGGCAAGUUCAGAACAGACAAGUGUCCUGAAAACUGUUGUAGUGUCGGGGGGCAGUCAGUGAUUUCUCUUUCAUUAUGAUUCUGUAACUAAAAUGCGCUAUAGGCCAGUAAGUGUAACAUUGCCGCACCUUAUGUGAAUUUUUUAUUUAUUUUUUUUACUUCUUUUUAUUUCCCUUUAUCAGGUGCAGUCAUAUACAUUCACACGUUCAAGGAUAUAACACAGGUGUAAAUGGGGUAGAGGUAGUCCAUGGGUUUUGACAUCCUAACAAUGUCCAGAGUCCAUAUUUGAAAGUGGGCAGUGAUAUUCAUUCACUGAGUGAGAGGAUGAACAUACAGUAUACAAACAUUCCUUAUUCAUAAUCGAAUGGCAGGGGGAAGAAAAACCCACAGCAGUCACAUCAAAAAUCAUAUCGAUCAAUAAAAUAUGAGAUAAUUGGGGACCAUUUAUUCAGGAAUACAUCCGUUUUCAAGUGUAACCUUGCGGUUAUAUUUUCCAUGUAGUAAACAUCCUUAACUUUCUCUCUCCAUUGUGCUACUGUGGGGGGCUGCGGCCUCAGCCAGGAGAUUGUAAUCAUUUUCUUAGCAAUUAGAAGAAGGACUCUCAGCAAUACUCUGAUUAUUGUUUUCUAGAUCUUCUGGCAAUAUUCCUAACACAAAACAAGAUGGUUCUAAGGGAAGAUCAACAUUUAAAAACAUUUUUUAUUUCAUUUUGUAUGUUUAGCCAGUAUCUUAACAGUUUCGGACAAUCCCAGAAUACAUGUGUGUGGUCUCCCACCAGGCCACAGCCCCUCCAGCACUGAUUUGAGGUGUCCACAAAUCUUGAUGUGACAACAGUAGUCCUGAAAAACUUAAUCUUAGUUUUCCAUGCAAAUUCCUUCCAGAUAGGGCUAUUUGUAAUUUUGUGACCCUCCCUGCAUGACAAUUCCCAGUUGUUAUCUGGAAUUAUGGUGUUCAUUUCCAGUUCCCAUUUUUCUUUCAAAUCUAAACUGUUAUCUGUUAGUUCUUCUUGUAGUGUCUUAUAUAUGUGUGAUAUAACCUUAACCUUAACCUUAAUAGUCCCUUUAAAUAAUAAAAUAAAGAAAUGUUCUAUAUUAGAGGGUAAA